rnacentral:tRNA from 1 species
GCGAGAGUGGUGGAAUUGGCAGACACGCUAGAUUUAGGUUCUAGUAUCGUUGAUGUGGGGGUUCAAGUCCCCCCUCUCGCA